rnacentral:rRNA from 1 species
GACCUUGACUUUAGAGCUAUUCAACUAAGGUACAGCUUACUUGAACCAGGACACAACCUCCUCUUAUGGGUAAUUCAUGAAUCAUCACAUCCAAGUAGGCCUAAAAGCAGCCACCUUAAAAAGCGUCAAAGCUUACAUGUGUUAUUCCCCAAUUCCUACAGCCUUACUCAACCCUUCAACUUUACUGAACACUUCCAUAACCCUAUGGAACCUUUAAUGUUAAAACUAGUAACAAGAAAUAACCUUUCUCUUUAAUGCAAACUUAAGUCGCAAAAACCACCAACGACAACUAAUAGCCUACAAUAGCAACUUCGCUAGAAAACCCUAUUUAUUAUCCUAUUAACCUAACACUAGGGCAUUUCAAGAACGAUUAAAAGAAAAAGAAGGAACUCGGCAAAUACUGACCCCGCCUGUUUACCAAAAACAUCGCCUCCCGCAACCAUGGGAGGUCUAGCCUGCCCAGUGACCUCUGUUCAACGGCCGCGGUAUCCUAACCGUGCGAAGGUAGCGUAAUCACUUGUUUUUUAAAUAAAGACUAGUAUGAAAGGCAUCACGAAGGUCUAACUGUCUCCUUUUUCUAAUCAGUGAAACUAUUCCCCCCGUGAAG